UUACACGCGACGCCAACUUCCGGUUGCAGUGUAGCCGUCUUCCACUUCAAUGGAGAAAAUUGUGCCGGAAUUUGGAGGCGCUUAACGGGGAAAGAAGCCUGCGCCUUAUACCUCGGGUGUUAUUUCAUGCGGCGAAUGUAAUUGUUUGGAAGCACUUAAAAACAAAACAAAAACAACACGUCUCUGGUGUAGUGGUGAGAGUGUAGGAUCAGCACAUAGGAGGAGAUCUGAGUUCGAAUCCCUACUCGGCCACGAAGUUUGCAGAAUGAUCUUGGUUGCACAAAAAGAGGGCAGCACAACAGAGGCCUCAUAGCAACCCUGUUGGCUAAGCUGAGGAAGGGUGACUGGCUCAAAGUCAUGCAACAACGUUUUGUGGGGAUACCAUCCCACAGAGGAGAAGUGACCAGGGGAGAAAUGACUGCUGGGAGGAAGGCAGAGAGAGGAAACACCAUAAUGUACCUGUAACAGCACAACCAAAUGCUUUCAUCUGCCCCAGCUGCAAUAAAACAUGUCUCUCCCA